AUAUAAUGAUGAUUUAUUUGCUAUCUGAGAGCCAUGAUGUCAAUCCAUCUACCACCAUAGAUUUUUCUGAUU
rnacentral:snoRNA from 1 species